UGCCCUGUUCCCACUAGACUAAAGUCAUAUUUGAUAUCAGGUAUCUUCACUCCAGGCAGACUAUAACUUGGGAUUUGGUAAAAGAAUAUUCAUGAUAGGAAGGAUUCUCUUCAAAGGAAGAAUUGACAAUUACUGGUAUCAGAACAGAAACAGACAAUUUAACAUUUUUACCUUUGGCAAACGUGUAUUAUUAGCACAUAGCUUGUCCCUUACAUGAAUGGGUGCUUCAAAUAAUGUGGCGGCCAAAGCAGAAAGGAAAACCCCCAAUUUCAACACUAAAACCCAGAGAAACCCUUUUCGUUUUACUGCUCGAUUCUCCUCUUUUCCACGGAUCCCAGCAGAAUACGGCUCAAUUGCUUAAAAUUGGUUAAUGGUGCUUCGUGUAGUACCGUUGGCUCUGGAAAUUUGGAGAGAUCGAUUAAAAGAUCAAUAAAAUAUCCCCCAUUCAAGCUGCACUUCCAACAAGUGACUCAGAGUUAGCAAGCAACCUUGGCCUCUUGCCAGGAGGUUUAUUGUGCCCCUCCUUCACCAUCCAGUUGCAGUAUGGUACCUAAACUCGAAGCUAUAAUCAGAUCCGGUCCUAUCUGACCAAACCCCGGAAGUUAGAACUGUAAGUAUGCCUACCAAACAAUGGAUAGUAUUUGUUCAGGAUUUUUUUCAUAAUUCAAAAUAAGUAAAACCAAAUUAGAGUUUAAGAGAAUUGUUGGACUCAUAAUUACUUGACAUAUUCUAAAAGAAUAGUUAGGAGUGAUCAAAAGGAUAUAGUGGAAAGUAAUCUUUAAUUUUUAUCGUUAGAUAUUUUUCUGAAGAGAGGUGUGUUAUUCCCAAACACGUUAAAGAGAAUCAAACAAUUCUUUCAAAUGUUUACCGCCCGUACGAAUUUAUAUGAUACCUUUUCAUUUUAAUUAUAUUAAUCUUCAAAAAGAAAAUAUUGAUACCCUGGUUUCCAAAUCCCAUAAAAAUUAAGCAAGUUAAUUUUCAUACCGAAUCUGACUAUUCUUUUUAAGAAGAAAACAAGUAUAUCAAGUUCCUUUUUUUUCUUCUUCUUAAUUAUUGUUUUGAAGAUAACAUCUUUAUUCCCAGAUGUGGACUUUAGUGAUCUUUAGUCCAAAUAACCUCAGAUCAAGUAAGACAAGUUAUAGUGUCUUUACUCCCAAUCCUGCAUAGGCUCAGAUAAAUUU
rnacentral:lncRNA from 1 species